AUAUGGUACCUAAGUGAUGAUGUGACUGAUACUAUCAUAAUAUAGGGGGAAACACUGAUGGCCCUUCUCCCCCUCACUAUUUGCAGCACUUCCUUCGGGACAGUUGGUGGUCUCGUUAGAGACAGAAGAGCCCAGCCAGCAUAUCCAGGGCUAGGUAUUUCCGACCUAUAAUGGUGCAUCUGGGAGAGACUGGAGAUGAAUGGGCUGAGAGUUUUGACCGUCAAAUGAUGAAGCUCACUGACUAUUAAAGAGAAGUCCAGGAGAUGGCCACUGGAGUGAUGAAACCAGCGUCUUAUGGAAAGGUCUCGGCCAAAAACCUGGAAGGGUAGAGGAAAAAAUUGUUUUUCCUUCUUCCUAAUAUAUUUUUCAUUCAUCGCAUUGGAAAUUCAAAAGUCCACCAUCUCGCUCUCUCUUUUUGGUUUGCACCAGGUGUGUGUCACUUCACGUACAGCAUUUAUGACUCAGAAACAGCUCUAUUUCAAGUCCGUGUUUGAUAGCUUAUGUCAGAAAACUAUAUUGGGCAAACGUCAUGGUAAUGAAAAUCUCAGAGGAGAGGAGACUUUGGAGCAGGACAACUUGGCCUUGAAUCUUGGUUAUAAUACCAGCUAUUUGGCAUAAGUCCCUAGUUUCUACACGUGUAAAAUGUGAGUAAUGAUGAUAAUAGCACCUACCUCACAGGAUGUUUUUAAGAUUAAGUGAGAUAACAGAUGAAAAGCACCCAGCAUAUUACUUGAGCGAAACACACUAAAUCUUGAAGAGCCAGUAGAUAUUGCUGUGAUUCUUUCUAGAUCAGUAAACUUCAUGAAGGAGGUGGGGAUGGUGGUAGAGCAGCCAUCUAUUAUAUUUCCAACCCAACCAGCUGCCUCACCAUUAUGUGCUGUGGGCCAGAAGAGCAAAGAGAUUACAG
rnacentral:lncRNA from 1 species